rnacentral:rRNA from 1 species
UACGAAGGGUGCAAACGUUGCUCGGAAUUAUUGGGCGUAAAGCGCACGUAGGCGGCUUUGCAAGUCGGAUGUGAAAUCCCUCGGCUUAACCAAGGAAGUGCAUCCGAAACUGCAGAGCUUGAGUACUUAAGAGGAUCGCGGAAUUCCCGGUGUAGAGGUGAAAUUCGUAGAUAUCGGGAGGAACACCAGUGGCAAAGGCGGCGAUCUGGGAAGAUACUGACGCUGAGGUGCGAAAGCGUGGGGAGCAAACAGG